UGAUGAUGAUAACGAUAAUGAUAAUGAUGAUGAUGAAGAUGAUGUUAUCAAGAUCAUGACGUUCAUCAUCAUCAUCAUCAUCAUCAUCAUCAUGGGAU
rnacentral:pre_miRNA from 1 species